rnacentral:tRNA from 1 species
GCCUGGGUGGCUCAGUGGUUGAGCAUCUGUCUUUGGCUCAGGUCUGAUUCUAGGGUUCUGGGAUCGAGUCCCACAUCGGGCU